GCGCCCGUAGCUCAGCUGGAUAGAGUACUGCCCUCCGAAGGCAGGGGUCGGACGUUCGAAUCGUCUCGGGCGCA
rfam:Methyloprofundus sedimenti strain WF1 Contig001, whole genome shotgun sequence.